rnacentral:rRNA from 1 species
GACGUAGGGGCGAGCGUUGUCCGGAAUUACUGGGCGUAAAGAGCACGUAGGCGGGAACUUAAGUCAGGUGUGAAAGACCGUGGCUCAACCACGGGGUGGCAUUUGAAACUGGGCGACUUGAGGACGGGAGAGGGCAGUGGAAUUCCUGGUGUAGCGGUGAAAUGCGUAGAUAUCAGGAGGAACACCCGUGGCGAAGGCGGCUGCCUGGUCCGUAUCUGACGCUGAGGCGCGAAAGCCAGGGGAGCGAACGGGAUUAGAUACCCUGGUAGUCCCUGAG